rnacentral:rRNA from 1 species
ACGAACGCUGGCGGCUGCUUAACACAUGCAAGUCGAACGGAGUGGCGAACGGGUGAGUAACGCGUGAGCAACCUGCCUAUGACAGUGGGAUAGCCUCGGGAAACCGGGAUUAAUACCGUAUGGUGAGAGAUGGCCUCGCGUCUGAUUAGUUAGUUGGUGGGGUAACGGCCUACCAAGACGACGAUCAGUAACCGGCCUGAGAGGGUGAACGGUCACAUUGGAACUGAGACACGGUCCAAACUCCUACGGGAGGCAGCAGUGGGGAAUCUUGCACCAUGGGGGGAACCCUGAUGCAGCGACGCCGCGUGAGCGAUGAAGGUUUUCGAAUCGUAAAGCUCUGUCCUAUGUGAAGCGGUACCAUAGGAGGAAGCCCCGGCUAACUACGUGCCAGCAGCCGCGGUAAUUC